rnacentral:rRNA from 1 species
CCGGAAUUAUUGGGCGUAAAGAGCUCGUAGGCGGGUUGUCGGGUCUGCUGGGAAAACGCGAGGCUCAACCUCGCGCCUGCAGUGGGUACGGGCAGACUAGAGUGCGGUAGGGGAGAUUGGAAUUCCUGGUGUAGCGGUGGAAUGCGCAGAUAUCAGGAAGAACACCCGUGGCGAAGGCGGCUCUCUGGAACGCAACUGACGCUGAGACGCGAAAGCGUGGGGAGCGAACAGG